AUUUCACUGACUGCCAACCUGCAGAAUGGGUCUCACCUGUGGUCUUCCAUGCCUUGAUCUCAGAAUAGACUGGAUUUUCUUUUGGAUCAGCUGGCAUUUCUGAGGAGAAGGAGCAGUAGCAGCACCAGCAUCUUAAAUAUACAGCAACCCACUCUUAACCAGGCGCCGAAGACGUGGAUGUCGAUUAAGGCAGCCCCCUGCACCUCUCCCCUGCACCUCUCUGAUUCAGAGUUAAAUGCGGAAGAAACAUUUCAUUUGAAGGCAUUCAGUUAUGUACAACUGACUAGGUAUCCC